AGUGAACGCUGGCGGUAGGCCUAACACAUGCAAGUCGAACGGCAGCACAGUAAGAGCUUGCUCUUACGGGUGGCGAGUGGCGGACGGGUGAGGAAUACAUCGGAAUCUACUUUUUCUUGGGGGAUAACGGAGGGAAACUUACGCUAAUACCGCAUACGACCUACGGGUGAAAGCAGGGGAUCUUCGGACCUUUCGCGAUUGAAUGAGCCGAUGUCGGAUUAGCUAGUUGGCUGGGUAAAGGCCCACCAAGGCAACGAUCCGUAGCUGGUCUGAGAGGAUGAUCAGCCACACUGGAACUGAGACACGGUCCAGACUCCUACGGGAGGCAGCAGUGGGGAAUAUUGGACAAUGGGCGCAAGCCUGAUCCAGCCAUACCGCGUGGGUGAAGAAGGCCUUCGGGUUGUAAAGCCCUUUUGUUGGGAAAGAAAAGCAGCAGGUUAAUACCCCGCUGUUCUGACGGUACCCAAAGAAUAAGCACCGGCUAACUUCGUG
rnacentral:rRNA from 1 species